UACAGAGGGUGCGAGCGUUAAUCGGAAUUACUGGGCGUAAAGCGCACGUAGGCGGCUUGGUAUGUCGGGUGUGAAAUCCCCGGGCUCAACCUGGGAACUGCAUCCGAAACUGCCUUGCUAGAGUAUGGGAGAGGGAAGUGGAAUUUCCGGUGUAGCGGUGAAAUGCGUAGAUAUCGGAAGGAACAUCAGUGGCGAAGGCGACUUCCUGGAUCAAUACUGACGCUCAGGUGCGAAAGCGUGGGGAGCAAACAGG
rnacentral:rRNA from 1 species